CAGAGUGUUGGUGAAAAGCCCCACAUCUGCAUUUCCAGGAGUGUGUUAUGAAGGACACAGGUUGCAUAGGAUGUUAAUAGAAAUGUGAACAAAGCGUGUGUAGCCAAAUAUAUUUCUUUCAGGAAAGCAUCGCAGCAAAGAAACCCACCAAGUUUGUUAAUUCUGGCUUUGCCAAUGUGCCUGGUGAAUCUAUCACCAGAAUCCAUCCAAACUUUUCUGGCCACUUGGCAUAGAUCGGGGGUACUGGCAUUGCUCAGAAUUCUCUCUGGGAAAUGCUCUGUGUGAGUUGGGUCCCUGCUGAGCUGCUGUAAGGAAGCCACUGUGGAAUUGUGUUGACAGACGUUUUGGCUCCAGCAUAACUAGCAUAAGACACCGUGGCACUUUCUAUCAAAACCUCUUCAGUUCCCAAGUUCAGAGAGUGAACAUUUGGAUGCCGAGUUUAGACAUCAAGAGCUGAGCUGGCAGCUUCUCAGACUCUGGCUCCUGAGUUUUCUGAGACUGUGAGGUCUUAGGGUAACUGGAGAUGAGAAGCGAGGAUGCUUGUUGGAAAGCCACACUGAAGGACACAUGCCUCUUCCAGAGCCCGAAGCCAGUUCCAGCUCUCAGCAAAAUGGAUAGAACCAGAGACCAUUAAAUGAGAUAAAUCAGAUGCAGAAGAACAGAUGCCACAUGCUCUCUCUUCUAUGUGUAAGUUAAUGAUGAUAAUAGUGCAUAUAGUCAAUCUGAAUGUGCAAUAGUGAUUACUUCAGUGACGCUGGGAAGGGUUGGGUUGAGGAGAGGGAGGGAGAGGUUGGGUAAUGGCACAGAGGCACAGUAGGGUGAGUGUAACAUUCUGAUGUUGGCAGCAGAGAGAGGUGACCAUGGCUCACGCUGAUGUGUACUACCCUGCAUAAAGAACUGAGCAGAGAAGCUGGUGGGCUCCGAGCACACAGAAAAGAUAAGGAAAUGGAAAGGUUGUGUUGCCUGAUAUGAUUGGUUUAAGCCAUGCAUAUGGUGGCAUGUGUCUCUUAAAAUCCUCAAAUUCCCCUUACAUAUACAUGGUAAUCCAAAAUUAAAACAGAGACCUGGGGGAGAAAGCAUAUUUAUUUGUGCAAUAAGUGUGGGGGAAGGGAUUGGUCUGGGAGGUAAGUGGUCAAAGAAUGCUUUGGCUGAAUGUUUACUGUUCCUUUAAAAAUGAAUGUUUUCAGUACCUAAGUGAGAAACAAGUCAACCAUCAGAUGGAGUGGGUCUUUGUUUCAGUGCUGCCUGGGAGGCCCGUGACACGGCUGUUGAGAAGUGAAAUUCUUCCGGGAACUCCGUGGAGCCUUCUCAUCCCUCCUCACCUCAGCUCUGGAGUGGAGAAGCCCAAGCUCAAGGCUUGGGAGACAGCUGUCUUCUUGGUGUGUCCUCAUAUGGCAAAAGCAAGGAGGGAGCUCCCUGGAGUCUCUCACAAGGACACUAGUCCCAUCCAUGAGGGCUCCUCAUGGAGUGUGGGGAUUACGAACAUGUCGGCUGUAGCAUGUAUUUUCAGAACUCUGCACUGUUACCUAAUUUCAACUCACAGUGAUGUCUCCAACUCUCAAAGUCAUUGUAGUCUCAAUAAAGUCAUAGUGUUUGCCUGCCCAGAAGAUUUUUCUUUUGUGAUUGUCACACUCCAAAUCUCCAUGUGAUCUUGGUGGACCUGUCAGUCAGACAGCUUCUUUUUCCCCUUUGUGGGUAGGACCAGGAUCUAGACUUAGCAGUCAUGGUGCCUUUAAUCCUGCCCAGUGAUCAAUGUGCGGGAAGGUGAUGCAGAGAGAGCUACACAGAAUUCAUUCUGGGGGUUGCCUCAGACACAAAGGAGGGAAGGGCUCUUUCUUUUCUCUAGCAUUGCAGUAUCUCAGAACAGGUCCCAGCCAGCACCUGCCAGUUUCUCUUUGCUGCUUCUCUUUCUUGGCUCUGCUUCUUUCUCUGAGAACUUUAUGCUUAGGAGCUUUUAUGUGUGGGGCAGAAGUGUCUUGGUGACAUUGUUUGCAUGCCUAGAUCCAGCCAUGCCUGAAGCAUGAAAUUGAGCCACUGGAUAUGCAGGAAUACAAUCAUGGCUCUAAUUUAUUUUGUUUAUGUGGCCUUAUCUCUCUAUACUGAGAUUGUUGGUACCUGAUGGACCAACAAUAGAAGUCCAAUAGAAUAGAAUACUAGAAGUCUAUUUUUUGUGUGCCAAUUACAAAUGCCAGGGACGCUGCCCAGUAUCUAGCAGGUGCUCAAUAAGUGCCUAUCUGGUGAUUAGCACAGGACCUAGGUCAUGCUGGGUAUGAUAACAUCAUGAUGGAUAAUUUCACUCCUGAAUUAAUCAGUGGGUUGUGAGCAUUUUGAAAUAUGGGCCCAUAUUUCAACUACAGAGAGACUCUGUGAGCUGAAAAAUUGUUCAUUAGACUGAAUGAUUUGUUUGGAAUACCAUUUUCCCACCUCCAGGUAGUUAAGAUGGGGGUGAAGAAAAGUAAAGGAAUGCAAUAGAGCUUUUUAGGGAAAACAGACCUGGGAUUGCACUUUGCUCAUACCAUGUGUGUUAUCUCCUACUUCCAGUUUUGUGUUUCAGUCUCUCCAGGGUACUGGAAAAAAUAAGAUUUGGGGUCAGGAGGACUUGACUACAAUGUCACCAUCCAGUGACAUGUGCCAUUGUCUCUUGAGAUGUGCUAUGGGGCUUUGCCUCACUCCUUUUGCUAUGGCCUGUUGGAAGCUCUGUCAGCGUUGCUGGGGCUUGGACCUCAGCCAUUUCUUUAUUAAAAACCCAUGGGAAGAGGGUUUGAUAUAUUUACUUAUUAGUCUCCUUGAUUACUGAUGUUGAUUUGAUUUUCUUUUCCUUUUUUUUCCAUCUCAUGCAUCUGAACAAAAUUGCUUAGAAUAAAUCUAAGCAAAUGUUUCUCCUAUAUCCUGGAAAGACAUUGAAUGCCAUUGUGUAUGGGAAGUGCAAGGGUAGUGGAUUUUAAAUCUCAGCCUCCCCACCCCCUCAGGAAGCGUCUUCCUUCUCAUGGGGGAAAGCCAAGCCAUCAUUUACAGCAGUCCUUAAGGGACACAGAGCACGAAGCCUGCUGGGAUCACCCAAGCCAACUUGCAGAACCACAGGGACAGGGAAGCUCCCUGGUGGAUGAGGGCGGGGGUGAGGCAGGAAGCACUGCCUGGAGUCUCUGCUCAGCCUCUGGCACUCUCUGCCAAGACCCCCAGUGCAGAGGUGCCAACAGCCCUGCUGUCACCACUGCCACUUUUCCUCACUUCUCCUCUCCUCCUUCCUUGCUGGUACCUCCUUGGGUUUGAUGAAUUUGUUAGGAUGGCACUCAGAAUUUUCAUUUCAUUUUUCAGAAAUUUCAUUUUAUUGAAGUGUUAAUAAAGGAUAGAAAUGACAGCCAGGGGAAGUCAUGCAUGGGAUGAAGAACGUGGGAAGGAGCACAGUGAGCCCACGCCCCCUCCACACCUGCCACCCUCCGGGUCCCACUGUACGUUCAGCAAGCCACAGACUCUCCCAACUGCCAUUCUGGGUUUUCAUGGAGGGCUUCCUUACGUGUACCAUACAAGAACCAGCUGCCAAAGUCAGAAGGUGUAGAGAAUGAAGAAAGAGGCAGGCAGGCAAAUCUAGGAUUAUACAUAGUACAAUAUGAGGGACUUAUGGACAGACCCACACUUUGGGAGGCCAUAAGAUGAGAGGAUCCUUGUACCAAGAGGCAAGAGAAAGGAUAUUUUUUAUGCUAAGCUACACAAGGUGACCUGUGGCCAACAAAAUGGAAUGUACCCGGACUUUCUUAAGAAAUACUAACAUUUAUAAGAGAGACUUCCAGGUGUCAUAGAAGAAUGGCAGAUUAAAUUAAUGGCUGUUUAUCCCGUAGGGUUUGGGAUGACUCCAAUGUUGCCUAAAGGGCAAGCAGGAGGUUAUGACCAACAUGGCUAUGAUCAUAUCAAGCUGGACUACUACAGCGAGCAUGGUUGAUUAAAUCAUUGGUCAUUGGUAAGCAAAUCAACCUUCAGCCCCUCUCCACUCCUCACCGGUUGAGGAGGGGAGCAGGGCUGAAAUUUUCAACUCUUUAAUCAUAUGGUUUGUUUCCUUGGCAACAAGCCUCCAUUCUGAGGCUGUCCAGGAGCCAGCCCACCAAGAGUCAUCUCAUUAGAACAAAGAUGCUCCUGACACCUGGGAAAUUCCAGGGGGAUUUGGGAGCUCUGUGUCAGGCAUCAGGGGUCAAAGACUAUUAGAAUAGAAGACUCUCAUAAGAGAGGGAAGAGAUGUGCAAUUUGGGACAUGCUCAAGCUGACUUACCUCAAACGGUAGAGUUAGAAACAUACCAGGGGAUUCCAAUUCAAUCCCAUCAAGGUGGCAUGUACUAAUGGCAUCUCACUAGUCCCAGUGAUGAAUUUCUGUUCACUAUUGAUCAUAAUGAUAGGACUAAGAGCCAAAGGGAUUACAUAAACAAGAAUAGUGUCUGCAAAUACUAACUGAUAGAAUAAAAAAGGGAGAGAACGAUCCAACAUGGGAAGUGAGAUACACAGCAGGCUCAUAGAAUGGCAGAUGUCCUAAACAGCACUCUGGCCUCAGAAUCAGCCCUUAAGGCAUGCGGAUCCAGCUGAAAAGCCCAUGAGAGUAUUUCAGGCAUGGAAAGCCAAGACACUCUGGGGGAAAAAAAAAAAAACCUAAAUGAAAGAUCUCCACGCGUGAGAUCCCAGUGGAAAGAAUGGGUCAUCAAAGAAGGAGGUACCUUUCUCUGAAGGGAGGAGAGAACUUCCACUUUGACCAUGGCCUUGUCUAAAUAUGAUCAGAGUCGGUGAACUCAGGGGGCUUCCAUAGCCUUGGCAGCUCAUGACAAGAGCCUAGGUUGAUUACUGAUGCCAUAAACAAGAGUGUCAAUUUGUUAAGUCAACAACAGGAGUCACUGUGCACUUACUCCUCACAUAGGAUCUUUGUCCUUAGUGUGCUGUACAUUGAGAUUUAAUGCUAUAACUAGUACUCAAACAGUAUUUUUCACUUUAUGUUUCUGUGUGGGAGCAAACUGUUGAAAUCUUUACUUAAUGUAUGCUAAACUGAUCUUGUGUAUAUAAAGAGAAUCGAAAAUGAAUCUUGAU